GGGUGGUGUCCGUUAUUGUAUGAGAGGGAGCGUCUAUUUUUAUGCGGGCGUCACAAAUAUUGAAAGUCGUAGGAAACGGAAAACGAAAGGAGGUUGGUUUGAGAAGGAAGGAACUCCAUGUCGAUGUCUCCUUACCUUCUCUAUUGAAGAAGCCAUGGUAGAGGAAUUCUCCAAAUCGGUGGAGGAGGGGCUCCGCCUCUCCAAGAGAAUAUACUUCGGCAAAGACCGCGCCGUCUCGCCGCCCAAGCCUCCUCCAACCAUGUCCAAGUCCAACACCUCCUACCUCCCCACCGCUCCCAUGCUCUACGCCGUCAUUCACAAUCCUGCUAUCGUCGACAACCCCGACGUUCCAAGCUAUCAGCCUUAUGUCCAUGGAAAGUGCGACCCGCCCGCGCUCAUUCCUCUUCACAUGACCGCCGUUCACCUUCAAGCGCAAUGCUAUCUCGACGCCGCCGCCUUCCUCACCCUCUCCGCCACGUUCCGACUCCACUGCGUCUCCGGCAGCCGCUUCUGCGAUUGCAUCGUUGCCGUCCCCGUCCCACAUCAGGGUUCAAUUCUAGGUGUGGAAGUCAGUGUUCAUAGGAAGUCUUAUUCUACUCUGCUGGUUGAUAUGAAAGACAAAAAUGGUAAGGAGAAUAUGAUCCAAUGUCAAGAUGGAGGCUUUAUCGGGCCUAAUUUGUUUACAUUGCAUAUACCUCAGAUAGACGGAGGUUCCAAAUUAUCUGUUAAAUUUAGUUGGUACGAGAAGAUACUAUACAGCAAUGAUGAGUUCUUCUUGAAUGUGCCGUUUACCUUUCCUGAUUUUGUCAACCCUGUUGGGAAAAUGUCAAAAAAAGAGAAGAUAGAAAUAACUGUGAAUGGUAUAGCUGGAAGUGAGCUUCUGUACCAUAAAGCGAGUCAUCCCAUGAAGACAGUGAGGAACAAUGCUGGGAGUACGGGUUUCUUGUAUGAGGCAGAUGUUCUCUCGUGGUCAAAAACUGAUUUUAGCUUUUCAUAUGUUGUGCCUGAUUCUUCAAGUCAUAUAAGUGGUGGGGUUCUCUUGGAAUCUGCACCUGUGGAUGAUUUUGAUCAAAGAGAUAUGUUCUGCAUGUACCUUCAUCCAGGAAAUCUUCAGAGUAAGAAGAUAUUCAGAAAGGACAUCGUAUUUGUAAUUGACGUCAGUGGAAGCAUGCGCGGAAAGCUAAUUGAUGAAACGAAAAAUGCACUAUCGGUUGCUCUCUCUAAGCUCGAUCCUGACGAUUCAUUUAGUAUUAUAGCAUUUAAUGGAGAUAUAUACCAAUUUUCAAAAUCAAUGGAAUUGGCUUCAAAGGAUGCUGUUGAAAGGGCCAUAGAGUGGAUUAACAUAAACUUUGUUGCAGGGGGUGAUACGAAUAUUUUGCAUCCUUUAAACACGGCAAUAGAGAUGCUAUCUGAUGCUCAAAGUUCAGUUCCAAUUAUUUUCCUAGUUACAGAUGGAACUGUUGAACAUGAGAGACAAAUUUGUGAUGUGAUAAAGAAUCAUGUGACCAAUGGAGAGUCAAUGACCCCACGAAUUUAUACUUUUGGCAUAGGUCCAUUCUGCAAUAAUUAUUUCUUGCGGAUGCUUGCUACGAUAAGUCGGGGCCAACAUCUUGCAGCAUUGGAUGCAGAUUUGAUCGAGUCUCAAAUGCUGCAAUUCUUCCACAAAGCUUCAUCUAUUGUUCUUGCAAAUAUCACAGCAGACAUAUUCAAUGGUCUGAAUGAUGUUGAGGUGUUCCCCUUCCAUAUUCCAGAUCUUUCCUCAGAUGGUCCAUUGAUUUUUUCUGGAAGAUACAAUGGCAGUUUUCCCAAAGAUCUUGAAAUUAAAGGGGUCUUGGCUGAUUUCAGUAAUUUUGUAAUAGAUAUGAAGAUUGAAGAGGCUAAGGAGAUACCUGUACAAAGGAUUUGUGCAAGGGACCAAAUAGAGUAUCUUACUGCUCAAGCUUGGCUCUCAAACGAUGAAAAAUUAGAACAGCGGGUUGCAAAACUAAGCUUACAAACGGGCUUUAUAUCGGAGUACACGCUUAUGGCAAAUCUUGAGAAUGAUCUUCGAAAGAAUGUCAAGGAAUCAGAUAGAAAGAAAGAAGUGUCAAAAAAGAGCCAUCAUAAGAAGACUGGUGCAAAAGAACAAGGGAACCGAAUGUUUUUGCUCCCUCACUUAGGUAUAGGAUUUGGCAACUUGGCUGCAACUGCUGAAAACAUUCAGCCGGGACGUCAUGAACCAAAAGGGCCUGAUGCGGCUGAAAUCUUUGUUAAGCGGGCCACGAAUUGUUGUAGCUCCUUCUGCAAUUCCUGCUGUUGCAUGUCCUGCAUUCAUGCGUGUACCCGGAUAAACACCCAAUGCGCAAAUGCAAUUACUCAACUCUGCGUUGGUUUGGGAUGCCUCAGCUGCCUUGAAUGUUGUGCAGAUAUAUGCUGUUCUGGAAAUGAAAGCUGAAACCUCAAAAUAUGUUGUUUGCUGAAUUCUCGUCACUCCCUUUUCCACGGGCCCUAUUGCUUGAUUUAUUGCCAGUACAACAUCCUCGACAACCUGAUGGAUAGAUAAGAUGGGUUAACAGUGAUAAUUAAGGCAGAUUAUGUGAUUCUUAUGCAAUGAACUUACUCUCUGACCACCUUCAACAACGAUAUCCUGGACGCUCUCCGUCACACUUGUUCUUGGAGACUCAACUCGAGUCGAUGUCUCUUUUAGCAAAGCAGCUUUCUGCCUGUUCUCCUCAUCUAUCUCCAGGGCUGCCUCCUUUGUUUCUUUUCUGACUUUUCCAUAUGCAGCAGAAGGAAGAAAUUGAUAUGGUUUUGCAGAAAAUACAAACACAUGAGCAACAGCUGCAACGGCCAUCUGCAUUACCAUGUACAUGAAAGUAGUUUGGGAUGCUUAAAACCUUGACAUGCAAGGAACAAUAACUUUGUGUUUCGAGGCCCUGAAAUUAUCAUUAUUUGUUGACCUAUUACAUCCAGAAAAAAGGAGGGCUCACUAGUAAAUGAGAUUCAUUGAACAGAGAAC